UAUUAAAAUUCAUUUAUUUGUAAUGUUAAAAACUAACGUGGCUGAUAAAAUAAUCAGAUAAUAAUAUAUGACGUACUACGUGUACCUUAUGUUAAUGUAUAAGAAUAAAUUUUUAAUAGUUGAAAUAGAUAAAAAUUUUAACA
rfam:Gossypium hirsutum cultivar TM-1 unplaced genomic scaffold scaffold1935.1, whole genome shotgun sequence